CAAUAGCGUAUAUUUAAGUUGUUGCAGUUAAAAAGCUCGUAGUUGGAUUUCGGGUGGGACGCAGCGGUCUCGCAUUGCGUUUGUACUGCUGCAGCCCUCCUUCUUGCCGGGGGCGGCCUCUCGGACUUCACUGUCUGGGGGUCAGAAUCGGCGAUGUUACUUUGAGUAAAUUAGAGUGUUCAAAGCAAGCUUACGCUCUGAAUAUAAUAGCAUGGGAUAACACGACAGGACUCUGGCCUAUCGUGUUGGUCUAUAGGACCAGAGUAAUGAUUAAGAGGGACAGUCGGGGCAUUCGUAUUCCGUUGUCAGAGGUGAAAUUCUUGGAUUUACGGAAGACGAACAUCUGCGAAAGCAUUUGCCAAGGAUGUUUNCAUUG
rnacentral:rRNA from 1 species